UACGUAGGUGGCAAGCGUUGUCCGGAAUUAUUGGGCGUAAAGCGCGCGCAGGCGGUCCUUUAAGUCUGAUGUGAAAGCCCACGGCUCAACCGUGGAGGGUCAUUGGAAACUGGGGGACUUGAGUGCAGAAGAGGAAAGCGGAAUUCCACGUGUAGCGGUGAAAUGCGUAGAGAUGUGGAGGAACACCAGUGGCGAAGGCGACUCGCUGGUCCAUUACUGACGCUGAGGCGCGACAGCGUGGGGAGCAAACAGG
rnacentral:rRNA from 1 species